rnacentral:rRNA from 1 species
UCCUACGGGAGGCAGCAGUGAGGAAUAUUGGUCAAUGGUCGCAAGACUGAACCAGCCAUGCCGCGUGCAGGAUGACGGUCCUAUGGAUUGUAAACUGCUUUUGUACGGGAAGAAACACUCUUACGUGUAGGGCUGACGUACCGUAGA